rnacentral:tRNA from 1 species
GGCAAGGUGCCAGAGUGGACGAAUGGGGCGGUCUCGAAAACCGUUGAUGUCGCAAGGCAUCCAUGGGUUCGAAUCCCAUCCUUGCCGCCA